GGGGGCGUCCCGGUUUCGACGGGACGUCGGACGCGCUGGUUGCACGUGGAGGUUGAUCGGCUGGCCUCCUAAAAAGCCGUUCAAAUAAACAAAUGCAGACUCGAACGAGCUCGCAUUGGCCGCUUAAUUGACGGUCACGUCAGAACCCCGACGCCUUCUAGGGGGGAUGGCGACACCUUGAAGGCUGGGCGGCAGGUCGGGAAACCGGGCAGGCCGCCGAGAUCCAACAGGUUCCUAGGAACGACAACGCCGCAGGCGGGCCAAGCCGAUCCGAAUCCCCAGACCACCUGCUAAACGUGUAGAGACCAUCGCUGAAGGCGUCCCGGACAGGGGUUCGACUCCCCUCGCCUCCACCA
rnacentral:tmRNA from 1 species